rnacentral:rRNA from 1 species
AUUGAACGCUGGCGGCAUGCCUUACACAUGCAAGUCGAACGGCAGCGCGGACUUCGGUCUGGCGGCGAGUGGCGAACGGGUGAGUAACGCAUCGGAACGUACCUUUCAGUGGGGGAUAACGUAGCGAAAGUUACGCUAAUACCGCAUAUUCUGUGAGCAGGAAAGCAGGGGAUCGCAAGACCUUGCGCUGAUUGAGCGGCCGAUGUCAGAUUAGCUAGUUGGUGAGGUAAAGGCUCACCAAGGCGACGGUCUGUAGCGGGGCGGGGAGGAUGAUCAGCCACACUGGGACUGAGACACGGCCCAGACUCCUACGGGAGGCAGCAGCGGGGAAUUUUGGACAAUGGGGGCAACCCUGAUCCAGCCAUGCCGCGUGAGUGAAGAAGGCCUUCGGGUUGUAAAGCUCUUUCGGCCGGGAAGAAAUCGCAUGGGCUAAUACCCUGUGUGGAUGACGGUACCGGAAUAAGAAGCACCGGCUAACUACGUGCCAGCAGCCGCCGUAACAC